GCCAGGUGUGGUAGCGCACACCUAUAUUCCCAGCUACUUAGGAGGCUGAGAUGGGAGGAUUGCUUGAGCUCAGGAGUUUGAGGUUGCAGUGAGCUAUAAUCACACCACUGCACUCCAGCCUGAGCAACAGAAUAAGAUCUUGUCUUAA
rnacentral:SRP_RNA from 1 species